ensembl:lncRNA LINC00943 long intergenic non-protein coding RNA 943
ACACUCCAGGGAACUCACAUGGGGGCUGGGCAGGGGGACCUAAGAGAUAGAUAAUCGGCACAUAUCGCUUCUCGGCCUUUUGGCUAAGAUCAAGUGAUAAUCAGCAAUGCACUGAGAAGGAGAGCAACAUUUAAGCGUAAAAGGAAGAAUCAACACUUUCAGAGAUGGAGCCUGUUGAGCCACAGUACCAACUAGUCAAUGCUGAAUCGACUUCUCCCUUUCUACAUUGCCUGAGAGAAGUCAUUGGGGAAUACUCUGUACACGAAUUUUCACUGUUGGGGAAAACAGAGAGUCAAGGGAUUGGAUUGUGGAUUGCAUUGGUGGUUUUCCUCAGUUUCCUCAUCUUCUCCACAAGUUUCUACAUAUCGAAUGCAGAGCAGCCCUUCUUCAAAGGACCUCCUACGGAAGCUGCUAAGGAACUCAGUCUGUAGCUCUGCGUGGAGCCAUGUGUAAACACUGAACUGAGACCUGCCACCUCCUACUACCUAAGGGCCCAUUUUCAUCUGAUAUCAUCCCCCAGAAACAAACUCAUGAUGACUUCCAUGUUUUUUUUAGAUUAGAUACAUGGAGAAUUUUCCUUUCCCUUAGAAUUAAAAUCCUGCAUUCUAAUUUUCAGUAAGCUUUUUUAUUUCUGAAUAAUUUUAAAUUUAAAGAGAAGUUGCAAAGAUAGUAUAGAAUGUUCCCUUAUACCUGUUUUUAUUUAGAGUGAUGUUCCCAGGAGAAAUGAUAAUGCAGCAAUGGACAAGAACAGGAACAAGAGACAGUCUUACCAUCUUCUUACAAUUUAUAGAUGGGACAGUGGAAAGAGAAGCCACAUCGGGGUUGGGCAUGCAGAGACCUGGUCCUAAAUCUGUGUGACUUUUGCGAAAUCCUUUUGCCUCACAGAGCUCUAGGUUCUUAUCUGUCAAACAGGAACCAGACCAUCAGAUCCGUAGAGAUCCAACCAAUGAAGGAGACUUCGAAAACUUCACAUUGCCGUGUCAAUGUGAGGUUGCUGGAUGGUUAUGACAAGAAAUCACAUUAAAUUCACUGGGGUAACAUUGUUCAUGAAACGGGAUAAUGUGUUUCAGCGAUGAACCACCCAUGGCCUUACUACAGACAUAUUUCCACUUUGAAAAUGUGUGUGAGUGUACAUGUCUGUGUGUGAGGCAGAGAUUAGAAAGUGGUAAAACUUUUUCGUCUCUACAGAACUCUCUCCAAGUGCACACCCAUAGAUUGGUUUGCUUGUGGAAUCCUAGCAUAUCAGAAAUGAAGGAAUCUCAGAAAUUGUUUUCAUCAAACACCUCAUAUGCAGAAGGCAAAAUGAAGGUUCAGAGCAGAAAUGAUUUGUCCAAGGAUGCAACACUCAUCUGCAGCAGAGGGAAGCUGAGCUCUGCAGACCCACCUAGCACUGCAGAGGCAGCCCUCUAGGACAAGGCUUCAUAAAAAAGUGACUUUAUGAGUUGGCUCCAUAAAAAAGAUACAGAUUAAGAAA